AUGAUGUACCUUCAUUUUCUCAUGUGCAUUCAGUUAGAUUUUUUUGGGUGGAAUCUGGGUAUUGGAUGGGACACUGGUAUGCUCAAUGAAGAAAAGAACAGGAAGAACAUCGUAUGUUUCAAUAAGAUCAUGAUUAGUGGGUGUUGGUCUAUAUGGAAUCAUAGAAUCAUCUUUGAUAACAAAGGUGCUAAUAUAGAGACGUACCUACUCAGUUUCAAGAAGCAUUUUUGUAUCAUCACGAAGACGUCAAAACCUAGCCUAAAGGAGGGGUCAGGUAUAGUAAGAGAUGUAAUUUCUUUUCUUCACCUCCUGUACAUAUACACAUGUACCUUAUCCAUCAUAUUAAUAGAAAACGAGUCACAGUUGGGGUUUAACCUACUAUUUUUUUCUUCUCAAAACAAUUAG
rnacentral:rRNA from 1 species